rnacentral:tRNA from 1 species
GCCCCGUUCGUCUACUGGCUCAGGAUACCGCGUUCUCACCGCGGAGAGACGGGUUCGACUCCCGUACGGGGUA